rnacentral:tRNA from 1 species
GGCUCGGUAGCUUAGUUGGUAAAGCGCUCGUCUAGCAUACAAGAGUCCUGGGUUCAAAGUCCAUCUUUACCA